AGGUGUGAUUAUCACCAUUUGACUCAGGAAACAGAGGCUUUGUGACAAGCUGAGGCAGCCUCAGUGUGGAGUGACAGAUGUCCAUUCUGAGUCACGCUCAGAAUUCCAGGAACAUCUGGGGGCCUGAGGUCACGCGGAGCAUGGGAACCGUGGGGAAGAGGCAGGUGGGGACAAGGCAGGGACGGCCAACACUUGAAACGCAUGUCUCCUCCCGUCCCAACCUGGCACCGAUGGCACACGUCAACAGUCUAUCAUGCCCGAUUUCUCAACACAGCGCUUCUGGCAGCAUCACAAACGAUUGCACUUGGAACUCCAGCACUCAUUUUGCCCGUGUCGGGCUUUGGUGCAGGGGUCACCUGAUUUGGAGCCCCCCUGGUGUGCUGGCUAAGAAGACAGAUGCUGGAGUCCUCAAUGCUUGGGUCAAAGUCCUUGCUCUGCUCUGUGUGAGGUUAGAUGCGCCUCCACGGGCUUUGCCAAGAAUUCUAAUGAGAACCAGACGCUCUCACUCCGUCCUUCACCUGCAGAUCUCGCAGCGGAGAUAUUGCUGCCACUUGGGUUUGGAGUCCGAGCGUGCUUUGUUUUCAAUUCUCCCCUGUAGGAAUCGGGCCCCUGAGAGUCCGAGAAAGCAUUUCAGAUUUUUCUUUUCUUUAUUCUCCAGCCAAAAUGCACCAGGUCAAAGUAUGAAAGGGAGAAAACUCAGGACGUUGGGUGGGGAGCUGGGGCUGGUCACCCACUGGAAGCCCCGGGAGCUAAAGAGCUCACCCCUUGACAGAAAACAGAGGGAAUCCCAGUUUGUACGGGGGUGGGGGGAAGCUGGUUGCUGUGUCCUUGCAGUGUCCCUGGGUGCAGUCCCCACGCAUCCACCCCCAGAGGCCAGUGGAGGUCAAUGA
rnacentral:lncRNA from 12 species